rnacentral:rRNA from 1 species
GACGAACGCUGGCGGCGUGCCUAAUACAUGCAAGUCGAACGCAAAACUUUCACCAAAUGCUUGCAUUCACGAAAGUUUUGAGUGGCGAACGGGUGAGUAACACGUGGGUAACCUGCCCAGAAGAGGGGGAUAACACUUGGAAACAGGUGCUAAUACCGCAUAAUAACAAAAACCGCAUGGUUUUUGUUUGAAAGAUGGCUUUGCUAUCACUUCCGGAUGGACCCGCGGCGUAUUAGCUAGUUGGUAAGGUAAAGGCUUACCAAGGCAAUGAUACGUAGCCGAACUGAGAGGUUGAUCGGCCACAUUGGGACUGAGACACGGCCCAAACUCCUACGGGAGGCAGCAGUAGGGAAUCUUCCACAAUGGACGAAAGUCUGAUGGAGCAACGCCGCGUGAGUGAAGAAGGUUUUCGGAUCGUAAAACUCUGUUGUUAGAGAAGAACGUGUGUGAGAGUAACUGCUCAUGCAGUGACGGUAUCUAACCAGAAAGCCACGGCUAACUACGUGCCAGCCGCCGCAGUAA